rnacentral:rRNA from 1 species
UGGGGAAUAUUGCGCAAUGGGCGAAAGCCUGACGCAGCGACGCCGCGUGGGUGACGAAGGCCUUCGGGUCGUAAAGCCCUGUGGGGAGGGACGAACAAGUCGCAAGACCCUGACGGUACCUCCUUAGCAAGCACCGGCCAACUCCGUGCCAGCAGCCGCGGUAAGACGGAGGGUGCAAACGUUGUUCGGAAUUACUGGGCGUAAAGCGCGUGUAGGCGGCCCGGCAAGUCGGGUGUGAAAGCCCUCGGCUCAACCGAGGAAUAGCACUCGAUACUGCCGGACUGGAGUUCGGGAGAGGGUGGUGGAAUUCCCGGUGUAGAGGUGAAAUUCGUAGAUAUCGGGAGGAACACCGGUGGCGAAGGCGGCCACCUGGACCGAUACUGACGCUGAGACGCGAAAG